UUGGGGUUUUGACUAUGUUGUUUGUAUAGCUUUAUGUUUUCCUUUGUAUAUUUUUACUUAUUUGUAUUUUUUUUUCCAAUGAAUAUGCAUUAUUUGGACAAUGAAGAAAGGCAAACUGUAAAAGACAAAAAGAAAAAGAAGGACCUCCAGAGUGGCAGAAUAACUCCUCGCCUGUCAGGUUUUAUCCCACCCAGGAUGUACCUCAUAAAAGGCACCUGGGUUUUUUCUGGAUGUGGGAACCUGUGGUAGAAGGGAGCCACCCGUCUCACCAGAAAACAGGUCUGUCACACACUGCCCUGUCCGUUUGGAAUUUAGGGCCUUCUAGUCCCAGCAGCAACAAUCCAGAGAAUCUUAUUUUGAUCUUGAUCCAAGUUUAGGUUCCAAACUUCAAAUCUGGCUGUCUCACAAUGGGCCUAAGGAAUUCCUUUCAGUGUUGUGGCCUCUCUGUCCCUCUCUUGAAUUGACAACAGAUGCCUAACUAAAAGAAUUAACAAAUUCCUUGUAUCAGAAGGUGAGAGGACGUCUCUCUUCAUCUAUUAGUGCAGAG
rnacentral:lncRNA from 10 species